UAAAACAUCUAUUUAUCAACUUGUAGCAGGGUCUGUUACCAUGAUUCUUUCUACAAUAGAGGCAUAUCUGCUCUGACCCUUGUGCUGGGACUAUGAGAUCCAUAUUUUGCCUUUUAUUAGGUUGUUGUGGCUCAUAAAUCUUCCUCUUAUUAUUUGGUAUGAAUGGUCGAGCCUAUUGGAUUUGUUGUGAGAUGGGCUUGUAGCCUCUUCUGCAAUUUGGGUACGUUCCAGUGCUUCUUGAUAUUCAUUAAU
rnacentral:lncRNA from 1 species